AUGGACGCGGACGACGUCGGCCUCGCCCUCCACCCGCACGGCGGGCUCCUCGCCGCCGCCGCCGCCUCCCGCCCGGCCGCCUACCCCAAGGCCGCCGCCGCCGCGGGGGGCAUCGUCGCGCCGGGGAGCAGCGUGCACGAGCUGCUCGAGUGCCCCGUCUGCACCAACUCCAUGUACCCGCCGAUCCACCAGUGCCAAAAUGGACAUACUCUGUGUUCCACAUGCAAAGCUAGGGUACACAAUCGUUGCCCUACUUGCCGACAAGAGCUCGGUGAUAUCAGGUGUUUGGCACUGGAGAAAGUAGCCGAAUCGCUUGAGCUUCCCUGUAAGCACUAUUCCUUGGGUUGCCCAGAGAUCUUCCCAUACUACAGCAAGAUAAAGCAUGAAGCGAUGUGCAGCUUUAGACCAUACAGUUGCCCCUACGCUGGUUCUGAGUGUUCUGUGACUGGUGAUAUUCCUUACCUUGUUAACCAUUUGAGGGAUGACCACAAAGUUGAUAUGCACAGCGGUUGCACAUUCAACCAUAGAUACGUCAAAUCCAACCCAAGAGAAGUCGAAAAUGCCACCUGGAUGCUAACGGUGUUUCACUGUUUCGGGCAGUACUUCUGCCUGCACUUUGAGGCCUUCCAGCUUGGGAUGGCACCAGUGUACAUGGCCUUCCUGCGUUUCAUGGGGGACGAGAAUGAGGCGCGGAACUACAGUUACAGCCUUGAGGUCGGCGCCAAUGGCAGGAAGAUGGUAUGGGAGGGCACCCCCAGGAGCGUCCGGGACAGCCACCGGAAGGUGCGUGACAGCCACGAUGGUCUCCUAAUCCAGAGGAACAUGGCAUUGUUCUUCUCGGGCGGCGACCGGAAGGAGCUGAAGCUAAGGAUCACCGGCCGGAUCUGGAAGGAGACGCAGACCCCGGAUGGUGCCUGCGUACCAGUUCUCUGUAGCUAA
rnacentral:rRNA from 1 species